rnacentral:lncRNA from 8 species
AUGAGUGUGUGUCUGUCUGUCUGUCUGUCUGUCUGUCUGUCUGUCUGUCUGUCUGUCUGUCUGUCUGUCUGUCUGUCUGUCUGUCUGUCUGUCUGUCUGUCUGUCUGUCUGUCUGUCUGUCUGUCUNNNNNNNNNNNNNNNNNNNNACACCAUUCUGUUGUUGGGGUACGCCCACACCAUUCUGUUGUUGUGGUACGUCCACACCAUUCUGUUGUUGGGGUACGUCCACACCAUUCUGUUGUUGUGAUACGUCCACACCAUUCUGUUGUUGGGGUACGCCCACACCAUUCUGUUGUUGUGGUACGUCCACACCAUUCUGUUGUUGUAAUACGUCCACACCAUUCUGUUGUUGGGGUACGUUCACACCAUUCUGUUGUUGGGGUACGUCCACACCAUUCUGUUGUUGUGAUACGCCCACACCAUUCUGUUGUUGUGAUACGCCCACACCAUUCUGUUGUUGUGGUACGCCCACACCAUUCUGUUGUUGUGGUACGCCCACACCAUUCUGUUGUUGGGGUACGUUCACACCAUUCUGUUGUUGGGGUACGUCCACACCAUUCUGUUGUUGUGAUACGUCCACACCAUUCUCUUGUUGUGAUACACCCACACCAUUCUGUUGUUGGGAUACGUCCACACCAUUCUGUUGUUGUGGUACGCCCACACCAUUCUGUUGUUGGGGUACGCCCACACCAUUCUGUUGUUGGGGUACGUCCACACCAUUCUGUUGUUGUGAUACGUCCACACCAUUCUGUUGUUGUGAUACGCCCACACCAUUCUGUUGUUGUGGUACGUCCACACCAUUCUGUUGUUGUGGUACGCUCACACCAUUCUGUUGUUGGGAUACGUCCACACCAUUCUGUUGUUGUGAUACGCCCACACCAUUCUGUUGUUGUGAUACGCCCACACCAUUCUGUUGUUGUGGUACGUCCACACCAUUCUGUUGUUGUGAUACGCCCACACCAUUCUGUUGUUGUGGUACGCCCACACCAUUCCAACACAUAA